rnacentral:rRNA from 1 species
AGUCGAGGGGCAGCGGGGUAGGAAGCUUGCUUUCUGCCGCCGGCGACCGGCGCACGGGUGAGUAACACGUAUGCAACCUGGCCGUGACAGAUGGAUAACCGGGAGAAAUCCCGCCUAAUACAACAUAAUGCCGGGAGGGGACAUCCCCUGCCGGCCAAAGGGGGCGACCCCGGUCACGGAUGGGCAUGCGGCGCAUUAGGUAGUUGGUGGGGCAACGGCCCACCAAGCCGACGAUGCGUAGGGGUUCUGAGAGGAAGGUCCCCCACAUUGGAACUGAGACACGGUCCAAACUCCUACGGGAGGCAGCAGUGAGGAAUAUUGGUCAAUGGCCGGAAGGCUGAACCAGCCAAGUCGCGUGAGGGAAUAAGGCCCUACGGGUCGUAAACCUCUUUUGCCAGGGAGCAAUGCCGUCCACGUGUGGACGGAAGGAGAGUACCUGGAGAAAAAGCAUCGGCUAACUCCGUGCCAGCAGCCGCGGUAAUACGGAGGAUGCGAGCGUUAUCCGGAUUUAUUGGGUUUAAAGGGUGCGUAGGCGGAAUGCCAAGUCAGCGUAAAAUCGCGGGGCUCAACCUCGCUCCGCCGUUGAAACUGGCGUUCUUGAGUGGGCGAGAAGUAUGCGGAAUGCGUGGUGUAGCGGUGAAAUGCAUAGAUAUCACGCAGAACUCCGAUUGCGAAGGCAGCUUACCGGCGCCCAACUGACGCUGAAGCACGAAAGCGUGGGUAUCGAACAGGAUUAGAUACCCUGGUAGUCCACGCAGUAAACGAUGAAUACUAGCUG